GGGGAAUUUUCCGCAAUGGGCGAAAGCCUGACGGAGCAACGCCGCGUGAGGGAAGAAGGCCUCUGGGCUGUAAACCUCUUUUCUCAAGGAAGAAGAUCUGACGGUACUUGAGGAAUAAGCCACGGCUAAUUCCGUGCCAGCAGCCGCGGUAAUACGGGAGUGGCAAGCGUUAUCCGGAAUUAUUGGGCGUAAAGCGUCCGCAGGCGGCCUUUCAAGUCUGCUGUUAAAGCGUGGAGCUUAACUCCAUUAAGGCAGUGGAAACUGUUGGGCUUGAGCGUGGUAGGGGCAGAGGGAAUUCCCGGUGUAGCGGUGAAAUGCGUAGAUAUCGGGAAGAACACCAGUGGCGAAGGCGCUCUGCUGGGCCAUAACUGACGCUCAUGGACGAAAGCCAGGGGAGCGAAAGGGAUUAGAUACCCCUGUAGUC
rnacentral:rRNA from 1 species